CUUUCGACCUUCGUCUCUCCCGAGCCCGUACGGGAGUUGUAGCGAUGAACACCACGGAAAAGGGGAGAAACAUUUUUUUUAAAGAAGUUCAUGGUCUCUGGUCAUUAUUUUCUUCCUUGUGAUCGAUCUUUUGCCACCAUCGAGAAGAGGCGCAAGGUGUCAGUCCUUCACUGACGAUGUUUCAAAGAUGAUACUUGAAGCACAACCAGCAAAACCAUUCAAGGUAAUGAGGAUGCAAUGUGAAGACUUCAGGCACCUCCCAGAUUCUGUCCUCAUGCGACCUACAGAUGACCUCAGUGAGGUGGUUAAAAGUCACAGUUGAGGAUCCUUGGAAUCUGUACACCAGACAGAGCCACAGUCUAUUCGAAGGAUGGAAAUCGUGGAUGAUCUCCAAAUCAAAACAAGGAGCUACACCUCAACCUCCCUAUUUUGCAAUCCACGAUCCUAGAGCAUAUGAGAGUCCUCUGCCCAUCAAAAAAAACAAGUAACAAGAUCUGAUGACCUGCUCAACUACUUGCCAGCUGCUGCACGCUCUUUUUAUAAAUCACUGCAGAGUGAAUCAUUUGUUGUUAAACCAAGCUACAUAAUUAACUGUUUGAGUUUAUGAUCUCCUGAACCUGUAUAGUAUGUUGAAUCUGAAUACAUUUCAGUAGACAUGUCACCCCUAUUGUAGGAAAUUAAAUGUAUAGUAAGUAGGUGUUUUCUAUGUGAAUGAAUUUGUGCAUGAUUUGAACCAGCACAAUAUAUUGAAUUAAUUUAAUUUUAAGAUGUUGUUGCUAGUGUAGAAAAUGUUAUGUACAAUGUGUUCUGUUGAGAAUAAUUUUGUGUGAACCUUCUUUAAUUUGAACCUUUUUUAAUCUGAAUGAAUUAAAAACCAAUAAGUCGUCACAUACA